UCCUCUCCUUUGCCAUGGGAACAGGGGUGGGGGCGGGAGGUGAGGGAGCCUGCGCUCGGGCUGCCUGGAAAGAGGAAGGAAGCCUGGCAUCUCUGGACACAUGACCCCCAGGCUUCUUUUUGGUGCUUUCCGUGCUCCUUGGCAGAGGGAUAGCUUCAUGACUCUGGCUUUUCGUGAUAAUUUUGCCAAUAUUUUAUCAGCGGCGCCGGCCGCCUCUGCUGGGAAGGCUGCUCGUCUCCUUCUAGCACUGCCUGGGAAGGCCUAGGAAGCAGUGUGUGGCCAUUGUCUGACUGUGGGGGCUCUGAGGAGAACUCCCUGCACACAUCUGGAAAACCAUGGAGGGCCCUGCCUGUCCCAGAGGUGGGAAGAGCAGGGAGGCUGGCCUGUGGGCAGGCGGGAGGGUAGGUGGGUGUGGGCAGGCAGUGGGCUGGGAAGCUGCAGUUUGAUAAACAAAUCAUCGCCAAGCCACCUUUGGGUCUGGAGAUUAUGAAAGAUCCAGCUCCCGAGUGCCUGCAGCCCGGUGGGCCCAGGGCUGGUUUCUCUAUGUACCUGCAGGCUGGUUAGCUAUCCUUGAGAACAAGAAGACAGGAACAGCCCUUUGGCCAAGGGCUCUAACAUGCCAGAGGCAACAACUGCUUGCAGAGCCAGGACCAGAUAUUUUGCUGCCAGAGCUGAGCAACAAGGCCAGAACUAUCAAGACCUUAUUGAAGCUGUAUCCAGCCAAAACCUACUAUUUCCUCACACACCCCACCCCACCCCCACCUCCUAGCAAGGAAGAGAAAAAAAAAGCAAAAGCUACUGAGAUGAAAAUAAAAUAUAUUUAUUUACUACGUAUUUGUAUGAUUCAUCUCUCUGCUGUCUUCCUUUGUGUAUUGCAUAUCUAUGCUAAGCUAGCGAGUGUGGCUGGACUCCCUCUGCCUCUUACAGCCAAAGAAUUUUGCCUUUUGAUUUUGACAGGCUGGAAUGGUGUUUUGGCUUCAUACCAGGCUCAGGAAAAGAGGAAAAUCCUGUAGCCUCUAUCAGCUAGUGGGUCACAUGUUUGCAUUUGCAUGUUUUCAGGCAAAUAAAGAUGUGAGUUGCCUGUCACUUCUCACUAUCUCUAGGAAAAAAAAAAUGUAUUUAUGAGAGUCCUUUCCCACUAAGUGACAGAAAAGAAAGAUGGCUCAUCUAUUUUUCAAGGAACUAAGAAAAGAAACAGGCAACUGACUCUGCCCUUUUCUCUCUCUGGAAUGCUAAGGAACUCUUGUCCUAUUAGUAACACUGAGUAUUCCUGAAAGAAGGAAACAGACUAUCCUUCUUUUAAGAAAAAGAAAGAAAGAAAAGAAAAAAGAAUCAAUAGAGUUGGAUACUGCAGAAUAUGAGGACUGGCAAAAAUGCCACUACUUUUUAUAAGCAGGGAGAGUGUGUGAAUUUUGCAGUAAUGGAAAAUGAACAGAAGAGAAUGGCUCAGCAGCCUUGGAAGCCCUCCGGGUUCCCCCCAGGAGGAAGUGCUUCUCUAAACAGACACCUGGGGGACACAGCAAGCACAGAGCUUUGAGGGCUUAACUCCAUCAUCAUGGAGGUACCUCCCAAACCCAAGAGUCUGCAAAUGCAGAGAGUAGACAUCAGACCUCACAAGAAAAGGAGUAACACAGCCAUAGGGUGAUAUGGAUAGGGCAUUGGCAGGAGGUCCUUGGGUCACCUGACUAAGCAAAAAAGCUCCCCUUUGAGAUGUGAAAUUCUUAACUUGAUCCUCAUGCCUGAUAUUGUCCCUAAUAGAAACUCUUGCUUAGUUUUUCUUUCACUUCUAUUUAUUUAGUCCUUAUUCUCCACCAGCCACCAUGCUAAGCACUCCCCUGAUUGAGCUCACCAGACUGUCCCACCCAACCUGUGAGAUGGGUGUUUUUACUCAUUUUAUGGGUGAAAAUUUGAAGCUGUGUUCAGAAACGUUGUAGUUAAUGCUCAGUGGCUUCUUCAAGUCAUGCAGUUAAUUGUUGGGUUAUGAAAGGUACUUGGAUGUGUAACACAUUUGACACUGAGUACAACUCCUAAUCAAUGAUUCAAAUGUCAACACUGAAAUAGAGGCAAAGCAUGAGAUUACAAUCAUCCCUUUGUACACAUGGGGAUUGGUAAAACUGUGCAUACUAAGUCCUGCAGUCAGCCCUGUGGAACCUGCUUAUACAAAGAGUCAGCCCUCAGUGUAGGCAGGUUUCAAAUUCUGCAAAUACUGUAUUUUUUUAAAUUUCAACUUUUAUUUUAGAUUCAGAAGGUACAUGUGCAGGUUUUGUUACAUGGGUAUAUUGCAUGAUGCUGAGCUUUGAGAUACACUUGAUUCCAUGACCCAGGUACUGAGCAUAGUACCCAAUAGUUAGUUUUUCAACUCUUGCUCUCCUCCCUCCCUUCCCCCUCUAGUAGUGCCCAGUGUCUAUUUUUGCCAUCUUUAUGUCCAUGAGUACUUAAUGUUUAGCUCCCACUUAUAAGUGAGAAUAUGCAGUAUUUGGUUUUAUGUUCCUGAAUUAAUUUGCUUAGGAUAAUGCCUUACAGUUGCAUCUGUGUUGCUGCAAAGGACAUGAUUUUGUCCUUUUUUAUGGAUGCAUAGUAUUCCAUGGUAUAUAUGUACUACAUUUUCUUUACCCAGUACACUGUUGAUAAACACCUAGGUUGAUUCCGUAUCUUUAUUAUUGUGAAUAGUGCUGCAAUGAACAUAUCAGUGUGUGUAUCCUUUUGGCAGGAUGACUUAUUUUCUUUUGGAUAUAUAUCCAGUAAUGGGAUUGCUAGGUCAAAUGGUAUUUCUGUUUUAAGUUCUUUGAGAAUUCUCCAAAUUGCUUUCCACAGUGGCUGAACUAAUUUACAUUCCCAUCAACAAUGUAAAAGCAUCCCUUUUUCUUUGCAGCCUUGCCAGCAUCUGUUGUUUUUUGACUUUUUAAUAAUUGCCAUUCUGACUGGUGUGAGAUGGUAUCUCAUUGUGGUUUGGAUUUGCAUUUCUCUGAUUAUUAGUGAUGUUGAGCAUUUUUAUUUUUUCAUAUUUAUUCGCCACGUGUAUGUCUUUUUCUUUUUUUUUUUUUUUUCGAGAUAAGGUCUGGCUCUGUUGUCCAGGCUGAUGUUCAGUGUAACAAACAUGGAACACUGUAGGCUCAGCCUCCCAAGCUCAAGCGAUCCUCCCACCUCAGCCUCCUGAGUAGCUAGGACCACAGGUGGGUGCCACCAGGCCCAGUUAAGUUUUGUAUGUUUAUUUUGGUAGAUAUGGGGUUUUGCCAUGUUGCCCAGGCUGAUCUCAAACUUCUGGUCUCAAAUGCUUCAGCCUCCUAAAGUUCUGGGAUUAUAGGCAUGAGCCACUGUGCCCAGCCCACUUCUAUGUCUUCUUUUGAAAAGUGGCUGUUCAUGUCUUUUGCCCACUUUUUAAUGGUUUUUGGGGGCGUGGGGUUUGUUUUUGUUUUGCUUGUUGAAUUGUUUAAGUUCCUUAUAGAUUCUGGAUAUUGGUCCUUUGUCAGAUGCAUAGCUUGCAAAUAUUUUCUUCAUUCUGUAAGUUGUCUGUUUACUCUGUUGAUAGUAUCUUUUGUAGUGCAGAAACUCUUUAGUUUAAUUAGGUCCCAGUUGUCGAUUUUUGUUUUUGUUACAAUUGCUUGCAAGGACUUAGUCAUAAGUUCUUCCCCAAAGCCAAUAUCCAGAAUGGUGUUUCCUAGGUUUUCUUCUAGAAUUCUUAUAGUUUGAGGUCUUACAGUUAAAUCUUUCAUCUAUCUUGAGUUAAUUUUUGUAUAUGGUGAAGGUAAGGGUCCAGUUUCAUUUUUCUGCAUGUGGUUAGCCAACUGUCCCAGCACCAUUUAUUGAAUAGGGAGUCUUUUCUCCAUUGCUUAAUUUUGUCAGCUUUGUCAAAGAUCAGAUGGCUGUAGGUAUGUGGCUUUAUUUCUGGGUUCUCUAUUCUGUUCCAUUGGUCUAUAUGUCUGUUUUUGUAGCAGUACCAUGCUGUUUUGGUUACUGUAGCCUUAUAAUAUAGUUUGAAGUCAGGUAAUGUGAUGCCUCCAGCUUUGUUCUUUUUGCUUAGGAUUGUUUUGAUAAUUUGGGCGCUUUCAUGAGUUCACAUGAAUUUUAGAAUUGUUUUUCUAAUUCUGUAAAAAAUGAUGUUGCUAGUUUGAUAGGAAUAGCAUUGAAUCUAUAAAUUGCUUUGGGCAGUAUGGCUGUUUUAAUGAUAUUGAUUCUUCCAAUCCAUGAGCAUGGAAUGUUUUUUCAUUUGUUUGUGUCAUCUCUGAUUUAUUUCAGUGGUGUUUUGUAGUUCUCCUCGAAGAGAUCUUUCACCUCCUUGGUUACAUAUAUUCCUAGGGUUUCUCUCUCUCUUUCUCUCUCUCUCUCUCUCUCUCUCGCUCGCUCUCUCUCUCUGUGUGUGUGUGUGUGUGUGUGCGUGUCUCUUGUAAAUGGGAUUAUGUUCUUGAUUUGGCUCUCAGCUUCAGUGUUAUAGGUGUAUAGAAAUGCUACUAAUUUUUGUACAUUAAUUUUGUAUCCUGAGACUUCACUGAAGUCAUAGUUUUUAUCAUGAAGGGGUGUUGGAUUUUAGCAAAAGCUUUUUCCAUAUCUUUUGAGAUAAUCAUAUUUUUUUGUUUUUCAUUCCGUUUAUGUGGCGAAUCAAUUUAUUGAUUUGUGUAUAUUGAACCAACCUUGCAUCCUGAGAAUAAACCCUACUUGAUAUGGUGAAUUAACUUCUUGGUGUUCUGCUGGAUUUGAUUUGGUAGUAUUCUGUUGAGGAUUUUUGCAUCUAUGUUCAUCAGGAAUAUUAGCCUGUCAUUUUCUUUUUUCAUUUUGUCUAAAUACUGUAUUUUCAAUCUGCCUUUAGUUGAAAAAGAUCUGUGUAAGUGGAGCUACACUAUUCAAACCUAUGUUGUUCAAGGGUCAUCUGUAUAAGAAAUUCCUAAUCACUUUAUCUGGAGAAGAGGAGCACAGGGCUGUGGUCUUUGAGCAGUGAUAAGAGUUGAUAGAGUGCAGGCCCUGGAAUCAGACUGUUCCAGGUUCCAGUUCUCAUUUUUUUAUGUGUUAGAUGUGUGGUCUUCAGUACGGUUGUCUCAUGAGCAAAAAAUGAAAAUGAUGAGGCAUACCUCAGCUGGGAAUGGAAACCAAAUGUUAAUGUUUUGUGUAGUAUGCAGAGUGUGGUACCUUGGCUGUGGGCACAACUGGCAUCAUGUCAGUGAUGGGUGGUCACACUGUCAUGAUCACUGUGGGCAUCAUUGUGGCUGUCAUUGUGGAUUUUAUGACACUAGCAAGCAGGUCACGCAACCUCUCAGACUUCAGUCACAUCCUUCUCAUGAAUUGAGAAGCACACCUGAAGUGUGAUGUUUUAAGGAUUAAAUGGGAUUAUGAGGAGAUGUUUUAUAAACAUUUGUAAAUUGUUUUUACUAACAAAAAAAUGCUUAUAUUACAAAAACAAGAGCAUGCUUAGUCAGUGGCUCUUCAGAGUGAAUUUUAGUUUCAUUAGAAUCCUUUCUUCUGAAAUCUAGCUGAAUAUUAAGAAAGGGGUAAUUUUGGAGAUGCUGGAGUGAGGUGGUGGGCAGACCUAGGUAGAGCACAGCAGGUGGGGUCUGGUCCUCAUUCAGGAGAAAAUAGACACCAAACAUGUGAGCAGGACACCCCAGGCUUGGAAAGGCCUGGGCUCAUACUGAGUCAGUACACUCGCUUCGCUGAAGGACUUCAGAGGAAAGGAGGGAAACUGGCCAAUCAUUGCCACUUUGUCUUCUGUAGGGUGGAUCCAACAUCCAGCCUUUCUUUCUCUCAUGAACUCUCAACCUAUUCCAAGGAUCUCUCAUUUGUCUCCUGACCUACUGAGGCAGCCUCUAACUGGCCUCCUUUCAUCCAUGCCAGCCCCCUUCAGCCAUCGGCCGCAUCCCUACUCUGUAUCACACUCUGCUUAAAGUGAGGCUCCCAUGCUCCUAGGGUGAGAAAGGAAACUCCUCAGCAAGCCUGUAGGGCCCGAUGUGGCCUGCUCCUGGCCUUGCUGACCAGCCCUAUCUUGUCUACAGUGCACAGUUCUCAGUGUCCUUGUCACAUGUGCCUUCUCCCAUUCCCUCUAAGGGUUUGCUCCUGCUGACUUUACAUGCAUGGUUCCUUCUGCCGAGAAAGCCCUUUCCCCACUAGCACCAGCCCCUCUGCCCAGCCCCACACUUCACACUUCACCAAGGCUGGCCUCCUCACCCUCCAGAGCAUCAAGUGCACCAAGAUCAAUGGUACCACAUACUGCUCCUACUCAUUUUAUAGGCUUCCUCCUGCCUCUAGCCCCUUUGUUGGUCUUUACCAUGGAUUCGUAUGCUAACAAAUUACUUUUAUGGAGUAGACUUUGUUCUGUUGAAGAGAGUAUUGAAGGGUCAAAUAACUCCCACAAAGAUGUCAUGGGAUAAGUAGAUACCAUGCUGGGACAGCAAGAACCUGAGCUUUGGGGUAUGGAUUCUCAAGUUCAAACUCAAGAUCUAUCAUGUACUCUCUCUGUGGUCUUGGACAGAAUAGAUCAAGUCUCUGAGCUAAAUUUUACCAUGUAUAAGAUAUGAGCAAUAAAUGCCAAGGUGCAGGGUUCUUCUAAGGAUUCAGCGAAAUAACAUUAGAAACUCACAGGCAUUGGGUCUCAGUGAAUGGAGUUGAGUCUGAAGUUGAGUUGACUGUUGAGUAAAGCAAAGUUCUGGAAAGAUGGUGUCAUUAAAACCAAAUCCUCUGAUUAAAAAUUAGUCUGUUCUUCUGGUAUUACAGUAGGUGCUGGAUUUUCUACAUAGGAAACUCAUAGCUCCCGGGAAGCCUACAGGAAGCUUAUUAACCUGGCAUUGUAUAUGGCAUGGGUUGAAAAAGGGAAGACAGGAAGUUAGGAUCCCAAUUGUCCUAGUUCAGAAAACGUCUCGGGCCAAAAUUUGGAUGGUUAUAAAACUAGAAAUAAGGGGAAAAAUCUUUUAGAAAAUAAAGACUGCAUGGCCUAGCCACUGAUUGUUUUAUAAGGCAAAGAGGAAAAGGAGGAUUCUAUUAGGUAGGGUCUUGGCAGAGAACAGAUUGGCAGUUUGAGAGGAGUUAAAUGGAAGGACUCUUCACAAGUGUGUGAGAAGGACAUUAAGAAACAAAGAGAAGCAAGCAUGACCCAGUACCAGGAGCCUAGUAACUGUGGCUCAUGACCCACUGCUACCAUAACUGCCCCUAGCUGGACCCAGAGACCCAGCUGGCUAUGGGUUGAAGGCUGCCUGACAGGAACUGUGGCUGUGGCCCCAGGAAGGCAGCCAGCCUAGUUCCAAGGAAAGAACUAGGAUAAAUAUCCUGAUCCUCCUCUUCUCUCUCCCUCAGAUCUCCUAUGGGUACCUCCCAUUGGUCAAAUCCAAUCAGGAGCCAGAGGGCAAGGAAGGCAUUUGAUAGGUUCAUAAUGGUCAGCAGCUUCCCAGGGCACAGUCCAGAGUAGGGAAGCAGGCAGAACGGAUCUGGAGAGGUGAGGGAGUUCAGAAUAGAAGACACCCAGCACACGGGGCAUGAUGACCUUCCUCUGCUAAUGCCAUUGCCCAGAUCAAGAAAUCUAAGGAUCCCUGAAGACAGGAUCCUGACACACAAGAACGCAGUAGGAUGCCCUCUCUAGAAAUUCUACAUCUGCAAAACAGAUAAAGUAGAAGUGGUUAUUUACUCCACAAGGAUCGAGAUUGUUUUAAAACAGUGCUUCCCAAAUGAAUGAAGCAGUUGUUGACAGAUGAUUACCUGAGGCUAAGAAGGGGUUAGAGGAAUAACGUAAGGAACAAUUUUAAAAUCACCCAAAAUGACUAUAACACAUCUCAGAAAAAUCACAACGUGAUUUCAAGAGCACUUGGAUUGCGUAAAGGAAGUGAUAUCAAUUCUGAACUCCAGCUUUCCUAUCUGGCAAAAGCUUUAUCUUGCUGAGAUAGCAUCUGCUGUGGUGAACGGUCAACAACUGGCUAUUACCCAACUUUAGGCAGAAACCAUUGUAAAAGUACAGAAAACAACCAGAAGUAUCUGAACACCUUCGACUUUCUGGGUAUUUUGCCAGAUAAAUUCUUCCUUUGCAGUUCUUAAGGGCACAGACUGAAGUUAGGUUGCUGGACUCAAAUUCUAGCCCUGCUUGUACUUUCUGUGUAUCCUUAGGCAAGUCACUUACCUUCUCUGUGCCUCACUUCCUCAUCUCUAAUGAUAAUUACAAGGAGGCAAAUAAUAGUGCCUCUGUCAGAGAAGACAUAUAAAGAAUAAAUAAGUUAGUUGUGAAUUCCUUAAAACAGUGCAUGGCACAUAAAAAAGGUUUCUGAAAUAAAUAGUAUAUAUUAGUUUGCUAGGGCUACUGCACCAAAGUGCUACAAACUGGGUGGUUUAAACAACAGAAAUGUAUUGUUUUAUAGCUCUGGUGGCUAAAAGUCCAAAACGAAGGUGUUAGCAGGGUUCCUUCUGAAAGCUGUGAGACAAAUGUCUACUCGAGGCCUCUCCUUUGCUUGGAGAUGGCUGCCUUUCUCCCUGGGUCUUUUCACAUCACCUUUAUCCAUGUGUUUCUCUGUGUCCAGAUUCCCCCUUCCACAGGGACACCCUUCACAUUGGAUUAGGACCCAUCUAAUGAUUUCAUUUUAACUCGUUUAUCCCUGUAAAGACUCUAUUGCCAAAUACGGUUAUAUUCUGAGGUACUGAGGGGUAGGGCCUCAAAUAUGAGUUUGUGGGGACACAAUUCAAUCCAUAAUAGAGUGUUUGUUAAGGAAAUGACUCCUCAAGGAGAUUUUCUUGUGUUUUGGUUUCCCCUGAAUGUCAGCCACUGUCCACACUAGCGUGAGAUGCUAACAGUUGGUUACUAAAUGCAAGUCACUAAGUUUAUCUAUCUAGUCUUGAUGUUUAAACCCUCAUUUUGCUAUCCCUGACCCAUGGAGGUAGACCCUCUCUUCCUAAGAAUCUGAAGGGAAGUGCUCUUACGUAGGAGGUCCUCAAUGGGAAGACCCCAGUAAUUUAGUAUGUCCACAGCCAGUCUGUUUGCCACACUUUCCACCCCACCUGGUCAUUUCUUACAACUGUGGUGUUUCAAUAGUGUAAGGGAAGUUAGUCAUGACAUUUGUUUCCAAUCUUCCUAGUUCCUGGGCCUGUCCAACACAGGGAAUAAGAAUUGGAUUGUUCAUUUGUUUAUUCAUCAGGUAUUUACUGGACAGCAGCUCUGCACUAAGCAUAAUGCUGGAGAUACAACAGUAAAUAGAACCAAUGUGGCCUUUAAAAUCAUGGGUCACACAGCUGGGCAAAAUGUGCCUCCUGGUGGCCAAUGUAAAGGGACACGUCUUAUUUGCCCUACACCAGGUUUUUAGUGAAUUUGAAUUAUUUGCCAACAAUGGGAAAUUGGGAAAUCAGAAGUGGGAUUUCUAGCUCUCUUAAAAACAAAACAAAGUCGGAAGAUUUUGCAGCCCUGACCCAAUUUUUCUUCCUAACAGCAAUCAAUAGGAUUGCCUGCUUUGGAUGGGGUAUAUACUUAGUUUCUGGCUUGCCACAAUUAUCACUUCCUAUUAAAUUACACAGUGACAGCUUAAUAUUUUUAUGUCACCUUGCCACUGCAGUCCAGUAGAUGAUCCAUAAAACAUCAAAUAUGUAGAAGUGAUUCUUCACACAGAGAUGUGGAAGCUGCAGCACAUCUGUUAAUGAUUAUGGGAGAAAAUCCUGUCUGAAGUUAGCAAUUGAUUAACAUUGCCAUGAUAUUAAAGUCCUCAUGAAGUGAGCAAAACCCUGCCACAUGUCCUUAUUCCCCCAACUGACCCAUUCCCAGAAGGGUGAUGUCAUAUCCUGUUGGAUACAGUUAGGCAAAUAACAGGGCAAACAAUAUCCUGCCCUGACCUCCUGGAGGUCAGUUUUGUUUUCAGAGAACCUAGUAAAAGAGAGUAGGACACAGAACAAAGGAGGGCAAUUCUGGAUAACUGAUCCCAGAUCUGGGUACCUUUUCUAGCCCAAAAGAGGGAGUCUGAGGAGGCUGAACUGUUCCAGAGAAUGUUCUGACAUACGGGACAUGCCUGGUCCAGUUGAGAACAUCUAGUCAACAGCAUGAGCUCUGUAUGGGUUGGGUGAGUUUGAUUAGCCACCCAGCUAAGGGAUGACUGCUGAAAGGCCACAACAAUGAUUCCAUGUGGCUACUCACAACCUUUCCUCUGUCAUUAUAGAGUCCUCCUGCUUGAGAAAGUAGAUCAUGCCAACAUAAUUUCUUCUGUUUAGGGCAGAUUCUUCCUUAUUCCUCAGGAAGAAAUCAAGGUAGCAAAUAAUUCACAGAAAGCAAAGCACAGUGUCUGGCACAUAGUAGGUACUCAAAAGAUAAUUGAUGAGUUAACGCAUUCAUGAAAAGCCCACUCUCUCUAAUAAGCCCCAGGAUAAAGAUAGACAAAGAUCUCUUUCCUAAGCUCUAGGGUCAUCUUUCUGAUCAUCUGCUAAGAUGGCUACUAGAAUAUUCCCAAGGCACUUCAAAAUUUAAUAAAUUUACUCUCUUAAGAAAACAAAAGCAAAAAGCCUACCUUAGCUCUUACAGUCCCGGUUGAUCUAUAGAACCUCUAUCUACCCAGUCAUAAGUCAGUGAUCAGAAAGCAGUCUUCUGAGACACUUCCCUUUCCUCCACUCUCCUGUGUUCCAUCUGUCGCCACAUCUGGUCAUUUCUACCUCCCAAACAUGACUUGAACUCUUCCCCUCCUCAAUGACCAUCACUCCCUAAUGUCUCCUACACCAGGCAUGGCAGCCAUUGGAGGAAGAGGUUAGGGGAGCAGGAGUUGGUCUCAAGUUCAGAAAGAGGCAACUGAGCAGUACGGCCUACAGGAAAAAAUGUGAUUUCAGGCCAUAUGGACAGGAGGUGAGAGUCCCACUCUGCAGACCCUGAUCAGGCUCUGUUUGAAACAUUAUAUUCAGGGAAGACAGUGAUCAGCCCGUAUAUUCCCAGAAAAGAGUGACCGGAACAGUGGAAGGACUUGAAACAUGCUGGGGAGAGGAUGUUGAAGGAACAGUAGGAAGACGCCAGGCAGCUCCACAUGUUGGUUUUGUGUCUGCCUGAGAGUAUGGAUGGUCCCUCAGCGAUUUCAGAUUAGGUUUCACCUGGCUCCCUAAACAUCUCUUAGGCCUUUUUUCUAAGGGUGUCACCAGACAGACAAGGGGAACAUACAGGCUCCACAUGCCACCCUGCUGUUCCCAGGGGCUGUGGUGGCUGUUUGUGUGCCUGUGCUACAGCCCCACCUUCUCUCACAGCAGAAUGCUACUCUCUACUGCCUCUAUCAUUUCCAAAGCUUCGUCCUCACAUCUGCUUAAUUUUGUGCAAAGCACAGGUCUUUCUCCAUGGGCUGUUAUCUCUUGCCCUCACCAGGCCAGCAGGGCCGAUGAAGCAACUGCUUUGCAAUAGUCUAAUGACACAGCUGAUCUAUUUUAAGCACCUGAAGCACACUCUAUCAAGUGCCAAUCUUCCCGCUGCAAGCCACGCUCAGCUUGCAGCAGCAGGGGCAGCCCGAGGUCUAUUCCUGUGUUUUGAGAUAUGGGGAAACAGCCCAGGGAUCCCAGCCCUGCCAGUCUGGUGAUAGUCUAAAGCAACCAUAAAAUUAGAUAUUUUUCACAGUCAGCAUGAGUUGUUCUCGAAGGAGAGUUGCCUGUGAUGUUAGCAUUAUAUGGUGCAGGAACCUCAGGUGAUUAUAAAUCCCCCUUUCAACUGGCAGAGACAAAGCCUGGGCCUGUUACAUGCAGGGAGAAGGAACUUGAGAGGCAGCAUUUCAGGAACUGAAGCUCAAUCCCCAUCAGAAAUUCCUUAGACUCAGACUAAUGUUUUCUCCUCCUCCUCCUCCUAAUCCAGAGACUCUUUUCCAACUGCAGCCUGAGUGCAAAUGUUUUACAUCUAUUAUUUUAUUUAAUCCUUACAACAAUCUUACAUGGGCCUUCCUUGAAUUCUGUGUCUAGGGAAUAUCCCCAUGUUAUAUUUGCUCUCACUAUUCUUCACAGAGCUUACCACAGUCAGUGAUUAUUUUGUUCAUUAGCUCAUUUUCUUUGUUUCUUUCUCUCAUCCUCCUUUGUCUAUAAGCCACAUGACGAUUGUGUGACAAACCCUGUCUGUUUUGUUCACUGCUGAGUCCUGCACACUCAACAUGAUGUUUGAUGCAGAGUGAUGAUCACUUAUAAAAGCAUUUCUUGGACACAUGAAUGAGCCCACUUACGCUUCACAAAAGUCCUAGAAAGAGGACACUGACAUUGUUCUCAUUUUACAAAGAAGGAAAUUGAAGCCCAGAGAAGAGAUAUUUGGCUCCAAAUCGCAAAGUUAAGAAAAGUGAUAGAGCCUUGAGUGAAUAUGUGGAUGGAUUCAUUUAAUGAGGAAUACUUCAAUAUCCUCAUUUUACAUAAAAGGAAAAUGAGAUUCAAAGGUAAAUUGCCUGGAUAAAGUCACAUGAGCUAGGAAGCAGAGGAGCAGAUGUUUAAACUGUGUUGGUCUCACCCUGAGGCCUCCUUUCCCUCCUCCCUGCUCCUCCUUUUUACCAUCUUUUUGUAUUUUUACUGUGAUGGAGAUCUCCAGGGGAAACAUGGAUUGGGAUGGCUGAUCUUCCCGUUGGAUGCCCCAGCACUAUUCACUCAUUCACUCGGGCAGUGAAACAAAUCUUCACACUGUGAGACAGUGACAUUCCAUAUUCCAGGCACCAUGAAAUCAAUGAUGCACAGGACAGAGAACUGGACCUCAGACUGCUUCCAUCCAGCAUCUUGGAGGGGCAGACAGAAGCAUGCAUGACUGUGAUGUGAGAUAAACCAUGGCGGGUGCUGAGGGGGAAGGAAAGAGUACAGAGGAAGACAGGCCAAAUUCCUCUGGAAGGCCUGGGAAUGCUUGUUGGAGAAGGUUCCAUUCAAUCUGGUCCUUGGGGCAGGGAACAAACUUAUGUUGUGUAGGGUUGAAGGAAAAGAAAGAGGAGUCUAGAUGGGCUUACUCAUUCCUAGGCAGGCAUUCCACACACCCUAAUGCACAAUUCCUGAGUCCUGGGCCUUUGUCUGGGUACUGGGACGGAGACCGAAAUAAAAAGACAGAAAGCCCUCAUCGGGAACUGUUAGGAAGUCCAGUUUGUAUACGCUAGAGAAUAUGAGUAUGUGGACAGUGAGAAAACGCUGGGAGUUGGUGAGGAUCAGCUCUUUGAGAGGGUCAGAUGCCACGCUAAACAGUAUUUGUUACAAUCUACAGCCAAUGAGGAGUCAGGAGAGGUUUGGAGCCCAGUAGUGACCUGCCCAGAGCUGUGCAUUAUUUAGGAAGAUCUCCCCAGCAACACAUACCUCAUGCAUCAGAGGGCCUGGAGGCAGUGAGAGGCAGACCUAGUGCAGCAAUGCAGUUGUGAGUGGAUGCGAGGGAGAGUGUGGGGAUGCAGGGAGAAUGAGCUCCCAGUUGUUCUGCAGCCAAGCUGUGCAUUUCUGCAACUAUGCCCAUGGGUGGGCUUGCUGUAUAUUCUAAUACCCGGGACUGUGAAAACUGGUACUUUGAAAACUAGGUUAUUGACCAAACUGAGAAGGCUAGAUCGUAUAUUUGAUAAGAAGUUGAGCUAUAGAAUCAGACUGCCUGGGUCCAAAUUCCAGCUUGACCCUUAUUAGCUGUGCCGCCUUCAGAGAGUUGCUUUAUACCAGACCCCCAAACAUCAGCUUCCUCUUAAGAUGGGGAUGAUAGGUGAACUUUAAGUGAGUGAAUAUAUGUGAGAUGCUUAGCACAGUGCCUGGCACAUGGAAAAUACUCAGUAAUGAUUAAUAGUGAUAAGUAAUGGAACACAUUUGAAUGUACUAUUUUGGGAAAACCCCUUUUAAAGAUACAAAAUAACCAACACAUGCUAUUGUUAUGAUGUAGUCACCACUUGGUCAUUCCACUAGGAAAGAAGAGUGGUAUAUAUAUUGGUAACACAGGACUUUUUAAGCUAACAUUUAAGGAGCACUUAUUACAUGUAAGACCCUAUGCAAACAUUUUGCCUGUAUUAUCUCUUUCGGUCCUGGCAUGAGUCAGGUGUGAAAUGAAUGUUGGAGAGGGCAAUUCUGAUUAAGCAGGGAACAUGUCACGUUAGUCCAGGGACUGGCAAACCUUUCCUGUAAAGGGAUUUGCAAGCCACACAGUCUCUGUGGCAUGAAAGCAGCCAUAGACAAUGUGUAAAGAAAUGGGUAGAGCUGUGUACCAAUCGAAAUGUAUUUAGAAGAAUAAAGGUGAAGGGUGAUUUGGCCCGUGAGCUGGUUUGCUGACCCCUAUACUAGAUGACCUCGAAGGUCUUUUGCAACUUUGAGAUUCUAGUCUGAGAUGCUAGUCCAAAAUGAUGACAAAGAAAUGUUCAAUCCUUCUAAUUCAGUUUAUCUCUGUAAUCACAAGGGGUGUUACUUCAAAUAAGAUAGAGAAGGUCAUUGGGAAUAGACACAGAGAGGACCAGAAAGCGUUCCAUUCUUUGUGUUGCCUUCAUAGUCAGCACACCUCAUUAACUCACACUCUGAUAUUAUAUGAGUCUUCUCAAGUUGCCAUUAAAUGACAAGCUGCACAGGCUGCCCUGGGAUCUGCAGAGUACACAGUUCUUCAGAGGCAGAGAAUGAUACUCAGACCAGAGACUUUCACAUUUGGGAAGGAACAUACAGGACAAUAUUCUAUGCCAACACUUCAGUAUGUGGAGCAAAUCCUCCCCCUUUGCUCCCGAUUCACAUUUCCUACUCACAGCCCACAUGCCUUGUAGCCUAAUAUGAUAGCCAGGGUGUCUGCUCAGCAUGUUUUAUCCUUCCUCCUUCUGAUUCUUUAUAAGAAUUUCUCUCCAUCUCCUUGUCAUACUAAUGGACUGUCACCAUGGUGUUCUGUCCCCCACCCCCCGCCCCUGAGAAUGACAUAUGACUUAUGCUAGCCAAUCAGAGUUUCCCAUCCACCUUGGCCACAAGGAUUUGCUCAUCAGUGGAAAUUAAACCCAAGACAGGCCAAUCAGAGUAUUCCCUGGAAUUGGAUAGGGAGAUAUUCAGAAGAAGAAGUGUUUAUUCCAUUGAGAUUGCUGAGCUAGGGAGAAAAGAGUGUGGGAAUACCAGUGGCCAUGAUUGUCAAACAUGAAGAAGCCAUCUGCAAAAUAAAGUCUUAGCUCUGACCAUAUAGGAAAGCCCCUAAUCCAGCCAUACCUGAAGGCAGAGCCACCUCAGACCCCAGACUUCCCAGUUGCAAGAACCAACAAACUCUCUUUUUGCUUAAACUGGUUUCCACUGGGUUUCUGUAAAGUACAACUGAAAGGGUACCAACAAAGGCACUUUUUAAAAAGCAUUAUUUCCAGUUGGCAGUUGCCCUUAUAAUGACCUCUAUUUAUCAACAGCCCAGCCAUCUUUAGGCUUAAAUAUUCUUCCACCCUGCUACCUCUCAUUCACUCCUGAAGUGAUUUUAUUCCCUCCUCUGAAGUCCUUGGCCCUUAGUUUAAAACAUUCUUAUAAUUACAGGUCAUUUGCUGUGAGUCAACAUAAUUUAUUCAUGUGCAUUUCUUAGUGCCCUCUUUCAGAUUAUAAACUCCUCGAAGAUAGAAAUCACGUGUCUAUGGGGUGUAAUGUAUUUGUUCCCCAACUGCAAGCCAAAGAUCACUGUGGAGCCAUGGAAUUAUUGCUGGAGCUUACAAAUCCAUGUGUGCUCCUAAUUCAAAUGCAUAAUGCCUGUCAAAUGAAUGUGUUUGAAAAAAGUCAAUAUGGCAGAAAGCUAACAUGUAAGUAUUACUUAAAUGUGAUACUAAUAUACAGAGGAUAACAAAUAUUUUUUAUGUUAAAAAAGGAAUCCUCAAAUGAUCUAAAUGUGGUUGCAUGGUUGUAUAUAUAUGUAAAACAUUUUGAGCUGUAUAUUUAAGAUUUAUAUACUUGACUCUAUGCAAGUUAUGCCACAAUAAAAAGUAAAAAAUAAAAUAAAAAUAAGAAGUCCUUAUACUUGACAAGUCUAGUCAACCAUCACUAGUACUGUUACAAGAUCAAUACCAAUACACUAAAAUUAAUCCAGGAUAGAUCACCGACCUAAAUAAACCAAAAGCUAAAAUUACACAGCUUCUGCAAGAAAAUGUAGGAGAAUAUCUUACAACCUCAAGGGAGGCAAUGACUUCCCAGAACACUAAAAUUUGUAAAAAUGGGCAAGAAUUCUAACAGACACAUCACAUGUACAAAUGGUUAAUAAGCACAUAAAAAGGAGCUUAACAUCAUUAGUCAUGUUAAAUGCAAAUUAAAACCACCUUUUUACAGCCUCCCAAAUGGCUAAAAUUCUGGUGAAAAUGUAAAAUGGCACAACAACUAUGGAAAACUGAUACAGUUUUAUAAAAAUUCAACAUACACCUACCUAUGAUCCAGCAAUGCCUCUCCUAGAUAUUUCCCUGUGAACGAUAAGAACAUAUAUCUGCAAAAAGAUUUAUGCAAGAAUGUUGCUGUCAGCUUGAUUCAAAAUAAUCCAAAGCUGGAAACAACCCAAAUGUUUAUAUAUAGACAAAUGGAUAAACAAUCUGUGAUUAUAUUUACACAAUUGUAUACUAUUCAGCAAUAAAAAGGAACAAACUAUUGACACAUGCCAAAACAUGAAUGAAUCUCAGAAACAUGCUGAGUAAAAGAAAUCACACAUAAAUGAGGGCAUACUGUAUGAUUCCAUUUAUAUGGAAUUCAAGAAGGCAAAACUAAUCUAUGUGGACAGAAAUUAUAACAGAGUUUGCCUUUGACUGGGGGAGGGGUGAUUGAUUGCAAAAGGUUGCAGAAAAUUAUCUAGAGUGAUAGAAAUAUACCUUAUCUUGAUUAAACUGUUGUGGGCUAUACAUUUGUCAAAACUUAUUGUAUUUAAAAUCUAUAUGUUUCAUUAAUUGAAAAUCAUGCCCAAUUUAAACAUAUAUGUGUGUAUCCCCUUAAACAGAGUAUGUGUGUAUAUACCUAUUCCCUUAGAUAGAAUAGGCUUGGAAACAGAAGAACUAACUUGAGAUCUCAGCUCUCCUGCUAACUCUGUGACCUCUGAGGCCAGUAUCCUUAUCAGUUCUGUGGCUCCAUCCUAUCAGCCUUGCUUACCUCAAAGAGCUGUUUCAACUAUGUAACACCUGUAAAAAUUUUUGGUAAACCUUUAAGCGUUGUACAGCUCAAGAACCUCCUCUCCAACUUAUUUUGUGCAAGCAUCUCCCUGGCCCUGAUGUUCUAGCUGCACUGGCCUCCCUAAACUCACCAUGUGCUUUCCAGCCUCUGGACCCUUCCUUGCAAAUGCUGUUUCUCCAUCUCAUUUGUACUUAUCCCUGGUUUUCCACAAACAGCCCUCUCCCAUCCUUGUAGUCUCAGCUGAAAUGUUUUACCUUUAGAUUACCUGUCCCCACCCCUUAUUUAUUUCCUUCAUUCUAUUUGUCACACUUUGUAAAUAUCUGUUUACUUGUCACAGACCCUUCCCACAGAAUGAUAAACUCCCAAAGCAUAGCAAACAUUAGCAAACAAGACUGUUUUAUUCACUGGAGUAUCCCCAGUUCUUAGCACAUAGAAAUUACCCAGUAAGGCUAGGAACAGUGGCUCACUUGUAAUCUCAGCACUUUGGAAGGCCAACGUGGGUGGAUCGCUUGAGGUCAGGAGUUCAAGACCAGCCUGGCCAACAUGGUAAAACCCCAUCUCUACUAAAAAAAAAUCACAAAAAUUAGCCAGGCAUGUUGGUGCAUGCCUGUAAUCACAGCUACUCAAGAGGCUGAUGCAGGGAAUCACUUAAACUGGGGAGGUGGAGGUUGCACUGAGCCAAGAUUGCACAUCUGCACUCUAGUCUGGGCGACAGAGUGAGUGAGACUCCGUCUCAAAAAAAAAAAAAAGAAAGAAA